rnacentral:rRNA from 1 species
GAUGAACGCUGGCGGCGUGCCUAAUACAUGCAAGUCGAGCGAAUGGAUUAAGAGCUUGCUCUUAUGAAGUUAGCGGCGGACGGGUGAGUAACACGUGGGUAACCUGCCCAUAAGACUGGGAUAACUCCGGGAAACCGGGGCUAAUACCGGAUAACAUUUUGAACCGCAUGGUUCGAAAUUGAAAGGGGGCUUCGGCUGUCACUUAUGGAUGGACCCGCGUCGCAUUAGCUAGUUGGUGAGGUAACGGCUCACCAAGGCAACGAUGCGUAGCCGACCUGAGAGGGUGAGCGGCCACACUGGGACUGAGACACGGCCCAGACUCCUACGGGAGGCAGCAGUAGGGAAUCUUCCGCAAUGGACGAAAGUCUGACGGAGCAACGCCGCGUGAGUGAUGAAGGCUUUCGGGUCGUAAAACUCUGUUGUUAGGGAAGAACAAGUCGGAGAGUAACUGCUCCGGCCUUGACGGUAUCUGACCAGAAAGCCACGGCUAACUACGUGCCAGCCGCCGCGGUAA